rfam:Triticum aestivum genome assembly, contig: Triticum_aestivum_CS42_TGACv1_scaffold_158763_2DL
CUUAUACCCCCUCCGUUUGGAAUUACUUGUCACGGAAAUGGAUAAAAGUGGAUGUAUUUAGAACUAAAAUAGAUCUAGAUACAUCCAUUUCUUUGACAAGUAUUUUCGGAUGGAGGGAGUAUUUA